rnacentral:misc_RNA from 1 species
GAUGAAGAACGUAGCGAAAUGCGAUAAGUAAUGUGAAUUGCAGAAUUCAGUGAAUCAUCGAAUCUUUGAACGCACAUUGCGCCCCUUGGUAUUCCGAGGGGCAUGCCUGUUCGAGCGUCAUUAUCACCCCUCAAGCUUUGCUUGGUGUUGGGGCCUGCUGUAAUAUGCAGCCCUUAAAAUCAGUGGCGGUGCUUCAAGGCUCUAAGCGUAGUAAUUCUCCUCGCUAUAGUGUCUAGUGGUUGCCAGCCAGAACCCCCCAAUUUUCAUGAUUGACCUCGGAUCAGGUAGGGAUACCCGCUGAACUUAAGCAUAUCAAUAAGCGGAGGA